GAUGAACGCUGGCGGCGUGCCUAAUACAUGCAAGUCGAGCGAACGGACGAGAAGCUUGCUUCUCUGAUGUUAGCGGCGGACGGGUGAGUAACACGUGGAUAACCUACCUAUAAGACUGGGAUAACUUCGGGAAACCGGAGCUAAUACCGGAUAAUAUUUUGAACCGCAUGGUUCAAAAGUGAAAGACGGUCUUGCUGUCACUUAUAGAUGGAUCCGCGCUGCAUUAGCUAGUUGGUAAGGUAACGGCUUACCAAGGCAACGAUGCAUAGCCGACCUGAGAGGGUGAUCGACCACACUGGAACUGAGACACGGUCCAGACUCCUACGGGAGGCAGCAGUAGGGAAUCUUCCGCGAUGGGCGAAAGCCUGACGGAGCAACGCCGCGUGAGUGAUGAAGGUCUUCGGAUCGUAAAACUCUGUUAUUAGGGAAGAACAUAUGUGUAAGUAACUGUGCACAUCUUGACGGUACCUAAUCAGAAAGCCACGGCUAACUACGUG
rnacentral:rRNA from 1 species